UCCCAAGUGACGUCAAGAUCACCGUUCUUAAGAACUGUACGAAGACUGGAGUGCAUCCGUACGUGGUCGGGAGGAGCGAUAUGUUAUAAGGUGGCUAGUUAGGUUCCUUUCGGAGGCUACAUGCAGUGUCACGCGUACUGGUGGCACGCCGUUGCUACUUACAACGGGGAAUCUUCGAGUCAGCAAUCAGGAGGAACACAUUGAUGUACCAUCGGCGAUCGAUCCGCGGCGGAAGUGACGAGGCACCGACGAC